GGGCGGGCGUUAAACUGGCAGAGCUGACACAGUGCGUUCCUAUAACGCUCGCAUUAACAUUAUGAAAAGAUUUGAGGCCUUGCCCUGCUUUAUCUAGAACAAGGUUGAAGAAAAUUCAGACACUU
rnacentral:snoRNA from 1 species